rnacentral:rRNA from 1 species
GGAACGGCGAAAAGAACCCCGGCGAGGGGAGUGAAAACGCCCCUGAAUCCGUGUACGGACAAGCAGUGGGAGCAGCUUCGGGUGUGACUGCGUACCUUUUGUAUAAUGGGUCUGCGACUUAUAUUCUGUAGCAAGGUUAACCGAAUAGGGGAGCCGAAGGGAAACCGAGUCUUAACUGGGCGUUAAGUUGCAGGGUAUAGACCCGAAACCCGGUGAUCUAGCCAUGGGCAGGUUGAAGGUUGGGUAACACUAACUGGAGGACCGAACCGACUAAUGUUGAAAAAUUAGCGGAUGACUUGUGGCUGGGGGUGAAAG